CUUUCUCUCCUUUUGUGUCCUUUCUCUCCCAGUCUGAUCUUUGCAGUCAUGUAAUAGACCUAGCCAGGAAGCAACAAUAGAAAACCUUUUUUUCCCCUGCCGCUCCUCAUUGAGGAUCUUUGAAUGUGAUCUGAAUGGGUUUCACAUUGUGUGUGCAUUUGUACACGUGCAGCACAUUGACUGUUACUGUGUGUAUGCGGACAUCUUUGUGUGUGGCUGUAACUUAGUGCACAAACUUGCAUGAAUGUGUGUGCAUGCAGGUUUGUGUUCCAGACAUGGAGAUCAGCUUUGUGUUGCUGUGCAUGAUGCUGGUAGCUAGUGUGACACCAGCGUCUGCUGCAGCACAGCCAGGCAUCAUAGAGAGCCUCCUAUUGGCCACCCAGCAGCGUCCCUGGCUGUGGAGUGUCUAUGUCUUCACUGUUGGACUUCCCGUCAUUCUCUUCAUUAGCUUCAUGUGGCCUGACAAGAGGUUUGGGCCUCCUGAUCAACAGUAUUACUAUAAGAAAUCUGACGAUGCUCAACCAGAUGAUCUGGAGAUCCCAGAGCGCACAGUGGAUACCAAAGGAAAAACUGACAGUGCUGUGACAAGGAGAAGAGACACCCAAGGUAACCAGGGGAAGUCUGACUUAGACCUGAAGGUGAGACUCAACAGACAGUAGCCUGCUGAUGAAUCACAGAGAUUGAUUGUGUGAUGGAGAGGAUGGGAAGUAUUUGCUGGUUUCCAGUCUUAAUGUGGAUCACUGAUCAGUGCAACAAAAUCAGGAGAGGGAAGCAAUACCAGCUCGCAAGAGGAUGCUGAGCGAUCACAUCUCUGCCCAGUCGUACUGAUGGCUGGAUAAAAUGACACCGUGUAAACACAACAAUGCCUGAGGAAUGAACUACAGAUUGUAUUAUGGUUUUGUUUAAUUAACAAUGUCAGAAAAGUCACAUUAUAAUUAUUUAUACAUAUAAUUUUUUAUUUUUACAUAUUUCUAAUUGUUCCCAUAGAAUGUGCCACUUUUAGUGUGAACAGUCAUUUGACGCUAAUAAAACGCGCCCUUUCACA